GCACCAAGGAGCCCUAGAUAGUCCACC
rnacentral:piRNA from 1 species